rnacentral:tRNA from 1 species
GCGGUUGUGGUGGAAUUGGCAGACACGCUACUUUGAGGGGGUAGUGCUCGUUUGGGCGUAUGAGUUCAAGUCUCAUCAACCGCA